rnacentral:tRNA from 1 species
AAGAUUUUAAGUUAAAAUAAACUAAUAGCCUUCAAAGCUUUAUAUAAAAAUAUAAUUUUAAAUCUUA